rnacentral:pre_miRNA from 1 species
CAACUACUCCCUCUGUCCCAAAUUUCUUGUCUUAGAUUUGUCUAGAUACAGAUAUAUCUAAUACUAAAAUGUGACUUGAUACAUCCGUAUCUAGACAAAUCUAAGACAAGAAUUUUGGGAUGGAGGGAGUACUUU